UUCAGAGGUCCCGAGCGUUGUUCGGAUUUACUGGGCGUAAAGGGAGCGUAGGCGGUUCGGUAUGUCGAAUGUGAAAGCCCACAACUCAACUGUGGAAAUGCAUUCGAAACUGCCGGGCUAGAGUACUGGAGAGGGAAGUGGAAUUCCAGGUGUAGCGGUGAAAUGCGUAGAUAUCGGGAGGAACACCGGUGGCGAAGGCGGCUUUCUGGCCAGUUACUGACGCUCAUGCGCGAAAGCUGGGGUAGCGAACCGGAUUAGAUACCCUGGUAGUCCCU
rnacentral:rRNA from 1 species